rnacentral:piRNA from 1 species
UGAAAGACGAUUGCUUUGGAAAAUCC